AUUGAACGCUGGCGGAAUGCUUUACACAUGCAAGUCGAACGGUAGAGGGGGCAACCCCUCGAGAGUGGCGAACGGGUGAGUAAUAUAUCGGAACGUGCCCAGUCGUGGGGGAUAACGUAGCGAAAGCUACGCUAAUACCGCAUACGAUCUACGGAUGAAAGCGGGGGAUCGCAAGACCUCGUGCGAUUGGAGCGGCCGAUAUCAGAUUAGGUUGUUGGUGAGGUAAAAGCUCACCAAGCCUGCGAUCUGUAGCUGGUCUGAGAGGACGACCAGCCGCACUGGAACUGAGACACGGUCCAGACUCCGACGGGAGGCAGCAGUGGGGAAUUUUGGACAAUGGACGCAAGUCUGAUCCAGCAAUGCCGCGUGCAGGACGAAGGCCUUCGGGUUGUAAACUGCUUUUGUACGGAACGAAACGGUGAGCUCUAAUACAGUUUGCUAAUGACGGUACCGUAAGAAUAGGCACCGGCUAACUACGUGCCAGCCGCCGCAGUAA
rnacentral:rRNA from 1 species